rnacentral:rRNA from 1 species
UGGGGAAUAUUGCGCAAUGGGGGCAACCCUGACGCAGCAACGCCGCGUGCGGGACGAAGGCCUUCGGGUUGUAAACCGCUUUCAGCAGGGAAGAACCAUGACGGUACCUGCAGAAGAAGCCCCGGCUAACUACGUGCCAGCAGCCGCGGUAAUACGUAGGGGGCGAGCGUUAUCCGGAUUCAUUGGGCGUAAAGCGCGCGUAGGCGGCCCGCUAAGCGGGACCUCUAACCUGGGGGCUCAACCUCCAGCCGGGUCCCGAACUGGCGAGCUCGAGUGCGGUAGGGGCAGGCGGAAUUCCCGGUGUAGCGGUGGAAUGCGCAGAUAUCGGGAAGAACACCGAUGGCGAAGGCAGCCUGCUGGGCCGACACUGACGCUGAGGCGCGAAAGCUAGGGGAGCGAACA